GACGAACGCUGGCGGCGUGCCUAAUACAUGCAAGUCGAGCGCAGGAAGCCGUCUGAACCCUUCGGGGGGACGACGGUGGAAUGAGCGGCGGACGGGUGAGUAACACGUAAAGAACCUGCCCAUAGGUCUGGGAUAACCACGAGAAAUCGGGGCUAAUACCGGAAGUGUCAUCGGACCGCAUGGUCCGCUGAGGAAAGGCGCUCCGGCGUCGCCCAUGGAUGGCUUUGCGGUGCAUUGGCUAGUUGGUGGGGUAACGGCCAACCAAGGCGACGAUGCAUAGCCGACCUGAGAGGGUGAUCGGCCACACUGGGACUGAGACACGGCCCAGACUCCUACGGGAGGCAGCAGUAGGGAAUCUUCCACAAUGGACGAAAGUCUGAUGGAGCAACGCCGCGUGAACGAUGAAGGCUUUCGGGUCGUAAAGUUCUGUUGUAAGGGAAGAACAAGUGCCGCAGGCAAUGGCGGCACCUUGACGGUACCUUGCGAGAAAGCCACGGCUAACUACGUGCCAGCCGCCGCAGUAA
rnacentral:rRNA from 1 species